GUUCUGAAAGAAAACAAAGUAGA
rnacentral:miRNA from 8 species